ACUCCUACGGGAGGCAGCAGUAGGGAAUCUUCCACAAUGGACGAAAGUCUGAUGGAGCAACGCCGCGUGAACGAUGAAGGCUUUCGGGUCGUAAAGUUCUGUUGUAAGGGAGGAACAAGUGCCGCAGGCAAUGGCGGCACCUUGACGGUACCUUGCGAGAAAGCCACGGCUAACUACGUGCCAGCAGCCGCGGUAAUACGUAGGUGGCAAGCGUUGUCCGGAAUUAUUGGGCGUAAAGCGCGCGCAGGCGGCCUCUUAAGUCUGAUGUGAAAGCCCCGGCUCAACCGGGGGAGGGCCAUUGGAAACUGGGAGGCUUGAGUAUAGGAGAGAAGAGUGGAAUUCCACGUGUAGCGGUGAAAUGCGUAGAGAUGUGGAGGAACACCAGUGGCGAAGGCGACUCUUUGGCCUAUAACUGACGCUGAGGCGCGAAAGCGUGGGGAGCAAACAGGAUUAGAUACCCUGGUAGGAUAGCG
rnacentral:rRNA from 1 species